UGAGGAAUAUGGUCAAUGGGCGAGAGCCUGAACCAGCCAAGUAGCGUGAAGGAUGACUGCCCUAUGGGUUGUAAACUUCUUUUAUAAAGGAAUAAAGUCGGGUAUGGAUACCCGUUUGCAUGUACUUUAUGAAUAAGGAUCGGCUAACUCCGUGCC
rnacentral:rRNA from 1 species